AUUGAACGCCGGCGGCAGGCCUUACACAUGCAAGUCGCACGAGUGGCGGACGGGUGAGUAAUGUCUGGGGAACUGCCUGAUGGUGGGGGCUAACUACUGGAAACGGUAGCUAAUCCCGCAUACCAUCGGAUGUGCCCCGAUGGGAUUAGCUAGUAGGUGGGGUAAAGGCUCACCUAGGCGACGAUCCCUAGCUGGUCUGAGAGGAGGACCGAGAACAACGGAACUUAGACACGGGCCAGCGUCAUACGGGGAUAAGCAGUAGAGAGUUUUGCACAGGGGGAGCAUGCCUGAUGCAGCCAUGGCGUAGGUAUAGAGAAGGCCAUCGGAGUGAAAAGUAGUUUCAGCGGGGAGGCGUUUGCCGCAGAUGAAGCACAAGCUAGCUCCGUGCCAGCAGCCGCGGUAAUAC
rnacentral:rRNA from 1 species